rnacentral:rRNA from 1 species
CCUACGGGUGGCAGCAGUGAGGAAUAUUGGUCAAUGGGCGCGAGCCUGAACCAGCCAAGUCGCGUGAGGGAAGACGGCCCUACGGGUUGUAAACCUCUUUUGCCGGGGAGCAAAGGGCGCCACGUGUGGCGCCACUGAGAGUACCCGGAGAAAAAGCAUCGGCUAACUCCGUGCCAGCACCCGCGGUAAUCAGGGGGAUGCGAGCGUUAUCCGGAUUUUUUGGGUUUAAAGGGUGCGUGGGCGGAAUUUCAAGUCAGCGGUAAAAAUUCGGGGCUCAACCCCGUCGUGCCGUUGAAACUGGUGUUCUUGAGUGGGCGAGAGGUAUGCGGAAUGCGUGGUGUAGCGGUGAAAUGCAUAGAUAUCACGCAGAACUCCGAUUGCGAAGGCAGCAUACCGGCGCCCAACUGACGCUGAAGCACGAAAGCGUGGGUAUCGAACAGGAUUAGAUACCCGUGUAGUC